CCCUGUGUGCAAUGUGUGCUAUCUCUCUCUCUCUCUCUCUCUCCUCUUGUGCUUCCUCAAAUGCCGACGGGUAGGCUUCUAGCCUGGUUACAGACUUCCAGAGAUCAGGGCAGUGAUUCAGAUGGCUGGUGCUCCAAGAUGGCUGAAAAAUAGCAACUAAAAAAUGGUGACAAGUGUGGAAGAGCUCAACGCUGUUGUACAAGUUGUUGCGGCAUCGAUGUUGUCGGGAAUCCCCCUCCAGUGACGGGACGCCAGUGCUGGGUAACCGCUCUCCAGAUGCCCGUCCCUGAUCCGCCAAACGUAGCCCGAUUUAAAGAAGAACAGCUCCCCUCGAAUCAUAGACACAGCAUCAAAGUCCGUCUGGCAGGCAUCAGGCUGGAAAUAAGACAGAUCACUUCUUCAUUUUCACAUGCAAAUACAAACACUCACCCAUGUGGUUUCCAAGCGUCCAUGACUCAUCGUAGUCAAAGUGAAUGUCUCCCUGUCGGCGUGUUUUGGGGAAGAAAGCAUGAGCGAGAAUCCCACCCGGGCCGUCGAAGGGAAGGUUGUCUUUAUGCUGGUAACUACAGUCGAUGCGGAUGUCAGCCUCGCCACUGCGGAUCUCGGUGAAGGUGAGCGGGGUGACGUCACUCCAGAUUUUCAGCGCUUCCCGAAAGACACGUCGAACCUUUUCCUCCCGCAUCUGCCAGGGAAACCCGUCAAUCCUGCAGGACACAAACGCAGAGAUCCGACCAGCCUGCACUCAGGCAAAACCAAAACACUCUGCUGUCAGCAUGCAUGCACGGAGAGGAGACGUCAGGUUUGGCUGCAAAGUGCUGCUGAUUCG